UGACGUUCUCAGGGCGGGGUGAAACUCCCCACCGGCGGUAAGCAGGCUGGUCCUGCAAAGCCCGCGAGCGCCCGACCGCAAGGCCGGGGUCAGCAGAUCCGGUGAGAUGCCGGAGCCGACGGUUAAAGUCCGGAUGGAAGAGAACGGGC
rnacentral:ncRNA from 2 species